GCCACUCGAAAACGUUGUCCAUUAUGAUUUCAUUGAAUCUAAUAAAUGUGUAAUAAAUCUAUAAAUAAACUGUUUAAAAACGUAGUACGGGAAGUUACUAAUGGAGUAAACGAUGGAAAAUUAACGACUGUACGCCGCUUUGAUCUUCCAAUAUUAAGUAAUAUUCACUAAUGUACUGCUCAAUUAGAAGGCGAAAAUAGUUAAGGUCAUUGGAAGAUCAAAAAACCUACAAAAACUGGUUUCCUUUCGCCUGGAACGUCCUUCAACUAUUUCAUUGCGUAAUAAAGACGAAAAUCUCA